rnacentral:rRNA from 1 species
AAACCGGAGCUAAUACCGGAUAAUAUUUUGAACCGCAUGGUUCAAAAGUGAAAGACGGUCUUGCUGUCACUUAUAGAUGGAUCCGCGCUGCAUUAGCUAGUUGGUAAGGUAACGGCUUACCAAGGCAACGAUGCAUAGCCGACCUGAGAGGGUGAUCGGCCACACUGGAACUGAGACACGGUCCAGACUCCUACGGGAGGCAGCAGUAGGGAAUCUUCCGCAAUGGGCGAAAGCCUGACGGAGCAACGCCGCGUGAGUGAUGAAGGUCUUCGGAUCGUAAAACUCUGUUAUUAGGGAAGAACAUAUGUGUAAGUAACUGUGCACAUCUUGACGGUACCUAAUCAGAAAGCCACGGCUAACUACGUGCCAGCAGCCGCGGUAAUACGUAGGUGGCAAGCGUUAUCCGGAAUUAUUGGGCGUAAAGCGCGCGUAGGCGGUUUUUUAAGUCUGAUGUGAAAGCCCACGGCUCAACCGUGGAGGGUCAUUGGAAACUGGAAAACUUGAGUGCAGAAGAGGAAAGUGGAAUUCCAUGUGUAGCGGUGAAAUGCGCAGAGAUAUGGAGGAACACCAGUGGCGAAGGCGACUUUCUGGUCUGUAACUGACGCUGAUGUGCGAAAGCGUGGGGAUCAAACAGGAUUAGAUACCCUGGUAGUCCACGCCGUAAACGAUGAGUGCUAAGUGUUAGGGGGUUUCCGCCCCUUAGUGCUGCAGCUAACGCAUUAAGCACUCCGCCUGGGGAGUACGACCGCAAGGUUGAAACUCAAAGGAAUUGACGGGGACCCGCACAAGCGGUGGAGCAUGUGGUUUAAUUCGAAGCAACGCGAAGAACCUUACCAAAUCUUGACAUCCUUUGACAACUCUAGAGAUAGAGCCUUCCCCUUCGGGGGACAAAGUGACAGGUGGUGCAUGGUUGUCGUCAGCUCGUGUCGUGAGAUGUUGGGUUAAGUCCCGCAACGAGCGCAACCCUUAAGCUUAGUUGCCAUCAUUAAGUUGGGCACUCUAAGUUGACUGCCGGUGACAAACCGGAGGAAGGUGGGGAUGACGUCAAAUCAUCAUGCCCCUUAUGAUUUGGGCUACACACGUGCUACAAUGGACAAUACAAAGGGCAGCGAAACCGCGAGGUCAAGCAAAUCCCAUAAAGUUGUUCUCAGUUCGGAUUGUAGUCUGCAACUCGACUACAUGAAGCUGGAAUCGCUAGUAAUCGUAGAUCAGCAUGCUACGGUGAAUACGUUCCCGGGUCUUGUACACACCGCCCGUCACACCACGAGAGUUUGUAACACCCGAAGCCGGUGGAGUAACCUUUUAGGAGCUAGCCGUCGAAGGUGGGACAAAUGAUUGGGGUGAAGUCGUAACAAGGUAGCCGUAUCGGAAGGUGCGGCUGGAUCACCUCCUUU